rnacentral:piRNA from 1 species
UCUUAGUUGGAUGGUAUGCUCUAGAGACUG